AUGAACAGCUGAAAAGUUACCGGGUUUAUCAACAGCGGUAGCAAUUUCGCUCCAACCCCUCUCCUUGCCAUUUCUGUGGAUAUUCUUUGCACAAAAUGUUGAAUAAACAUUAAUGUUGUUUCCACAUAUCAUCUCCAAUGUCCGCUGGAUUUUGGGUUGUGCAGUGUCAGCUCGCACGGAGGGGAAUCCGUGCUUUCUGAUUGGCUACCUGUCCCAUUCAAUAAGCGGAGUUCUCGCUCCCAGUAAAUCCCACACGCUGCAGUGAUAAAGUGGCCAAGACAAUCCAACAUGUUGAAUAAGCCUGAUUUAGAUUGGAGCGGCCACGACGUUCUACCGACUGAACCCAACCAGUCGGAACACACUACGAGAUAAUCGGUUGCGAUUAUAGCAAAUCCAAUCUUAAACGUUGGACGUUGUAAGAUUGUCGUAAGGAAAAAAAAUAUGUAGUGUGAACUAUUGCAUCAGGUAGUCGGAUGUGCCCAUCUUCUCUAUCUAAAUCUAAUGAUUAUUGAAGGGCAAUAUAGUAUACAAACUUCAUAAUCUGUACUCUUGGUUGAAUGUAGUUUUUAUUUCCACUUUGGUUUUACGAUUUGUUUUUAUUUAAGU